rnacentral:rRNA from 1 species
ACGGGAGGCAGCAGUGGGGAAUAUUGCACAAUGGGGGAAACCCUGAUGCAGCGACGCCGCGUGAAGGAAGAAGUAUCUCGGUAUGUAAACUUCUAUCAGCAGGGAAGAUAGUGACGGUACCUGACUAAGAAGCCCCGGCUAACUACGUGCCAGCAGCCGCGGUAAUACGUAGGGGGCAAGCGUUAUCCGGAUUUACUGGGUGUAAAGGGAGCGUAGACGGCAUGGCAAGUCUGAUGUGAAAACCCGGGGCUCAACCCCGGGACUGCAUUGGAAACUGUCAGGCUAGAGUGCAGGAGAGGUAAGUGGAAUUCCUAGUGUAGCGGUGAAAUGCGUAGAUAUUAGGAGGAACACCAGUGGCGAAGGCGGCUUACUGGACGGUAACUGACGUUGAGGCUCGAAAGCGUGGGGAGCAAACAGGAUUAGAUACCCUGGUA